rnacentral:tRNA from 1 species
GCCGGAUUAGCUCAGCCUGGUAGAGCACAUGACUGUUAAUCAUGCGGUCCCAGGUUCAAAUCCUGGAUCCGGCG